rnacentral:lncRNA from 1 species
AGGAAAACUUUAAAGCUGCCCUGUGGCCUCAGUUUAAACGCCCGGAGCUGCACUUCGCACUACGUGACGACGAUGUCGGCGUCGAAGGCUCUGACGAUUGUUUUGCUGACGAUGACUAUCUUCCUCAUAAUUGAAAUAUCCGCCAUGUCAUCUUGCGGCAGCCCGUGUAUCCUGUACCAAGAUGGAAGAGUGACAAGCUGUCCCAAGGGUUGCAAAUGCGUUCUCUCAUUCAAAGACGCCUUCGGAAGCGGUAUGGGGACGUGCGAACGUGCUACCUAACUGGCUGUUUCAAUCGGGUGCUGCAAUUUUCUUCCACCGUGCCAAUGAACAAAGAAAUAAAACAUAAUUAAGCUAAUAAUACACAUUAAUAAACACAUACGUCAACCUCUUAACUGCAGGUUGUUG